rnacentral:rRNA from 1 species
GAUGAACGCUGGCGGAGGGAAGAAUACAUGCAAGUAGAACGCUGAAGGAGGAGCUUGCUCUUCUGGAUGAGUUGCGAACGGGUGAGUAACGCGUAGGUAACCUGCCUGGUAGCGGGGGAUAACUAUUGGAAACGAUAGCUAAUACCGCAUGACAACAGUUAUUGCAUGAUAACUGUUUAAAAGGGGCAACUGCUCCACUACCAGAUGGACCUGCGUUGUAUUAGCUAGUUGGUGAGGUAACGGCUCACCAAGGCGACGAUACAUAGCCGACCUGAGAGGGUGAUCGGCCACACUGGGACUGAGACACGGCCCAGACUCCUACGGGAGGCAGCAGUAGGGAAUCUUCGGCAAUGGACGGAAGUCUGACCGAGCAACGCCGCGUGAGUGAAGAAGGUUUUCGGAUCGUAAAGCUCUGUUGUAAGAGAAGAACGAGUGUGAGAGUGGAAAGUUCACACUGUGACGGUAUCUUACCAGAAAGGGACGGCUAACUACGUG